rnacentral:misc_RNA from 1 species
UCAGGAGGUCUCUGGAUGCCCCUCCGAGAGGCAGAAAGAGCGAGAAGGGCUCCGAUAGGGCGGCCUACUUCGCGCGGCGGCGGCGGCGGCUGGGCGUGCGGCGGCCGGCGAGCGCGAGGGACGCCAUUCCGCCAUUCCGGCUCGGGCGCGGCGGAGGUGUACGACGUGCCGGUAUUUUCAGCGAUCAUGUCUUACGGGAGAGGAAACAACGAGUGUCGCAUCUACGUGGGGAACCUGCCCCCGGACAUCAGGACCAAGGACAUCGAGGACCUGUUCUACAAAUUCGGCAAGAUCGUGUUCAUCGACCUGAAGAACCGCCGAGGGCCCCCGUUCGCCUUCGUCGAAUUCGAGGAUUCAAGGGAUGCCGAAGAUGCAGUACACUCUCGUGAUGGGUAUGACUACGAUGGCUACCGUCUGAGAGUGGAAUUCCCUAGGAACAGUGUGCCAGGAGCAGCCAGAGGAGGCUCAGGAAGGGGGCGAGGCAGAGGUCCUCCAGCCCGAAGAUCACAAUACAGAGUUUCAGUCACAGGCCUGCCCCCUACUGGGAGCUGGCAGGACCUCAAGGACCACAUGAGGGAGGCAGGAGAUGUGUGUUAUGCUGACGUGUACAAAGAUGGCACAGGUGUGGUCGAGUUCCUCCGCUAUGAAGAUAUGAAAUAUGCUGUCAAGAAACUUGAUGAUUCAAAGUUCCGCUCACAUGAGGGUGAAAAUUCUUACAUUCGGGUGAAAGAAGAUUAUGGAGGUUCUAGUCCAGCAUCCGGUGGUGGUGGAGGAGGAGGACGUGGUCGCUCAAGAUCCAGGUCACGAUCCCCACGAGGCUACCGAGGGUCACCCACCUACUCUCCUGUUCGCCGAUCUUAUUCUAGGUCGCCCUCACGAUCUAGGUCACCAUCACGCUCCCGAGAUCGCUACUAGAACCGAAGACAGGAGUGAUGAGCCAGGCCCAACGUUUGGGCUGAGAUGACAGUUUGGGCCCAAACCUGGCGAAGUUACCUAGAAUUUAUGAAGGGUGCCAAGUUGUUGGAUGUUGCAUCCAGUUAGAGCACAUCCUUUAUGGGAGGAAAUUGAAAACGGUUAAAACUCCACACUGACCUCUGGUGCCCCACGCUGACCUGACGGUGUCCCCGGACCCAUGCAGCUCUUAGCACUGGACUGGAGGACGUCAGGUCUGCACUGUUGCCAGUCACACAUGUCCCACUUGCCCUUUGGUCUGUCUGCUGGCUGUCCUCACAAUAUAUCAAAGACACUUUUGAAAGGUCCUCAAGUGUGUGUGUGUGUGCAUGCAUGUGACGCCAUCACUUUCACAUUGUAUUAGGGGAUGGAUAGAACCCUUCAAAGCUGUUAGUGUUAGGAGUCGCAGAUAAUCUGUUCGGACAGCCAGAUUAAGAAGAAGAAAAAAUGGUGUAUUGCUCAGAGUGGCAUUUUUUGUUUGUGUAAAUGCAGACUUUUUGAAAGUUUUUUUUGUACUUUUUUAGAUUUUUAUUAAUGGCAACUAAUUUUGAUUUUGACUUCACAUAGGUGUAUGCAGUCUGUUCCAUGGUCAUUGUUCAGUAUUAAGGAAACUUUCAAUGUCUUCAUAUACAAAGGGCAAGUUAAAAAUUUUAGAUUUGUAAGAAAGCAUAUGUUUACAAAAAGAAAUGUAAUGAAGUUUACGUUAUAAGUAGCUUCUAGCCCAAUUAAGCUAACUAUGAUUUAUUAUUUCUGUCUUUAUGUUCUCACAUUCCAUUCUGACUUCUCAGCUGAACAAUUCUUAUAUCUGAUAUUUUCUUAGUAAUCAGCGUGUAAAUACACCUCAUACUUUUAAUAAAGAUGUUCAAUAAAAAUUGUCUUGAAAUGGAUUUUGUAUUGAAUGAAGCUUUACCUAUAGAUUAUAGAGAUCGUAUUACCAGAGACUAAUUGUUUGUUUUUCUUUCUACACAGUCCCGUAGCUAGUAGGCUGCUGCAAUAUGGCCAUCCUUCCUGCCAAAUUUCGUAGAUUUUGGAAAGCUAGGAUUUGAGAAGUGGAGGAGGAGCAUUGACUAUGGCAUGGACGAGAGGCUCUCUAUCUGGAUCACAGGAUCAGGAGGAUACAUGCUGCAGCAAGCUUGCAAGGGGAGGAUCACACUAAUGGAUAACUUGGAUCACAAUGGAUGAGAUCUCUUAUGGGUCUCAGUUGGCCUAUCCAUGGAGAAAAAGGAUUAUGCGGGGACAGGUUCUGCGCUUGGACGAACUCACUGGAGGAUCAUGGAUCACUUGAGGAUAAGGAUUUGGAUCAAUCAAGGGAUUCACCAAGUAGCAGAGGACUGGAUUUCAAUACAAGGAGAUCAGUUAUUCAACAGUGAUUCAUCAAUAAAAUAUUAAUGUUA